rnacentral:rRNA from 1 species
UACGUAGGCAGCGAGCGUUGUUCGGAGUUACUGGGCGUAAAGGGUGUGUAGGCGGUUGUUUAAGUUUGGUGUGAAAUCUCCCGGCUCAACUGGGAGGGUGCGCCGAAUACUGAGCGACUAGAGUGCGGGAGAGGAAAGUGGAAUUCCUGGUGUAGCGGUGAAAUGCGUAGAUAUCAGGAGGAACACCUGUGGUGUAGACAGCUUACUGGACCACUUCUGACGCUGAGACACGAAAGCGUGGGUAGCAAACAGG